AGGGAACAAUUGUAGGAACACUUUACCCCUGUAUUUGCCGGAAUGGCAGUGUGAAAGGGGCUUUAGUGUGACUUAACUGCACAGUUGAUGUAGGGAGAAAUGCUGCAGCAGUAUCAGUCUGUGUGCCUCGGUGACGUAAGGGAAUGCAAUCAAUGACAUUACAGUAUCAUUCGCGCGAACACAAUUGAAAUUGUCGGCAUUGCGUGAAGUCAUUUUUUGCGAAUUGCGACUUGGUGAAACAGACUAUUGUUUGGCGUGUAAAAGAAACCUGAGUUUUACUACUCCCGUGAGUAAUAGGGCUUUGCAACCAGCAGCAAGUCCACUGAGCAUAAAUUAUUUAAUGAAACAGCUGAUCUCCGGUCAGAACGCUUUGUCUCGUCAGCUUGAGGGUUUGAUGGAGAAGCAAGCUGCAAACACUGUUCUUCUCGAAGAUGCUAUCCAGGGUCUCUGUGCUCUUUAGCGAAAGUUUGACAAGCAAAGACCGCGGGAAGAGCCAUUACAUAAAAGGAUAAAGAGGGCGCACAACGUGGGCAUUGCGGUAAGUUGAGUUUUAUUUUAGCGGACAAUAUAGUAGUAAAGAUAUGUAUAAUAAAGGCUAGAUGUUUGACCCAAACCACAUUUGGUGGCCAUCUUACCACGGUGUUUUAAUGGUGCAUGGACUUUUAAAUAACCAUAACUUGCUCCAUUUUCUACCGAUUUUCAAACGGUUUGGUUUGUUAUAAACGUUAGAGAUGAACCUAUGACACUUAGGGUGGCCAUUCAAUGUUACAGGAAGCUGUAAGGCGCCUUCACAAUUCAGAAAACAACCCACAUAAAUAUGAUGCCAUGCUGUUUAUGGGUUUUACAUAUUCCUUUUAAAUGUAUUUAAUGACACACUUCUCUCUUUCCAAACAGAAUAAGUUCGCCUCGUAACCAAGCAGUCAUGACUUAUCUGCUAGAGGAAUUGAAAACAACUUUUGCAGAUACAGACCCUGAGUGUAUACAAGUCCCAGCUAAGAGAUGCCAUUAAAACAGGAGCUAAAAACCGACAAAGGAAAAGACGGUUGCUGGAUUCCAGGUCCAAGGUUCUUCAAACCGAUGCAGAGAGAGAGAGCUUUGGCAGACUGCAACAGUGGAGCUGAUGUCUGACGAGUAUGCCGCCAUUGGUAAUGGAAGGCCAGUGUAGACUGUGAGGUCUCCAUCUCACUGCUUCAGUGCAGAUUGGAGGCAGACAUGCGCUACACUAUUUUGCAUCAUCAGCGUGUUAAGGCUGAUGGAAAUGGACAUGAUGGACCUUGCUUUCUUCAACUUUAACUAAACCUAAAAUAUUAUUAAAAAUUAUAAUAUUGCUUGUGUUUAGUAACAUUUUAUAAAAGUACUUUGCUUUGUGUACAUAUUUUUUUGUUUUAUAUUUUGUAACUGUUAUAAUAUUGCUUGUGU